rnacentral:siRNA from 1 species
UAACCAAGCCUAUUUCAGUUCC